ACGGGAGGCAGCAGUGGGGAAUAUUGCACAAUGGGGGAAACCCUGAUGCAGCGACGCCGCGUGAAGGAAGAAGUAUCUCGGUAUGUAAACUUCUAUCAGCAGGGAAGAUAGUGACGGUACCUGACUAAGAAGCCCCGGCUAACUACGUGCCAGCAGCCGCGGUAAUACGUAGGGGGCAAGCGUUAUCCGGAUUUACUGGGUGUAAGGGAGCGUAGACGGCAAGGUAAGUCUGAAGUGAAAUGCCGGGGCUCAACCCCGGAACUGCUUUGGAAACUAUCUCGCUCGAGUACCGGAGGGGUAAGCGGAAUUCCUAGUGUAGCGGUGAAAUGCGUAGAUAUUAGGAGGAACACCAGUGGCGAAGGCGGCUUACUGGACGGUAACUGACGUUGAGGCUCGAAAGCGUGGGGAGCAAACAGGAUUAGAUACCCUGGUA
rnacentral:rRNA from 1 species